GAUGAACGCUGGCGGCGUGCCUAAUACAUGCAAGUAGAGCGAAGAGGGGACGGGUGAGUAACACGUGGAUAACCUCCUAUAAGACUGGGAUAACCUCGGGAAACCGGAGCUAAAUCGGAAACUAAUAGAUGGACCCGCGCUGCAUUAGCUAGUUGGUAAGGUAACGGCUGACCAAGGCAACGAUGCAUAGCCGACCUGCGAGGGUGAUCGGCAAACCUGGAACUGAGACACGGUACAGACUCCUACGGGAGGCAGCAGUAGGGAAUCUUCCGCAAUGGGCGAAAGCCUGACGGAGCAACGCCGCGUGAGUGAUGAAGGUCUUCGGAUCGUAAAACUCUGUUAUUAGGGAAGCGGUACCUAAGCAGAAAGCCACGGCUAACUACGUGCCAGCAGCCGCGGUAAUAC
rnacentral:rRNA from 1 species